rnacentral:lncRNA from 1 species
AAGUUGUAAUAUGUUACAAGCUUUAUUCUUGUUUCUUUGAAUGUAAAUUUUGUUAGAAAAUUUGCCAUUUCAAAUGUUGUAGAUGUAGUUCAUAUGAGCAUGAAUAUUGGAGCUAAAAUUUGGUGCCAUGACUUUGGGAAAAUUCGGCCAAAUCCAAAGGAUUUUUGGGUUCUUGUUUGACUUGUUAAAAGUGUUUUCAAGUGACUUUUGCAACCCCUAUGUACCCUAGUUUGGUUAGAUGUUAUUUCCCUAAAGUUUGAAUGGUUUUGGAAUGUUUUUGGGUGAAAAAGUUCAUGGAAAAAUUUUGGGUUUUUCAUGAAUGUUCUUCAUUGGUCUUGACAUUUUUGCCAAGAACAAAAAGGUUUGUGUUUUGAUUUAUUUCAUAAAGUUUAUGUUUUAUGUUUUUCAAAUGAUUUAUUGCAUUAAAUAUUUAUUUGAAUGGUGAUGGAAAUGGUGAUAGAAAUAAUGGUGGGUGUGAAAGGAUGAAUUCCCUUUCACACACACCACUUGUGCACUUGCAUGCUUUAUGUCAAAACUCACAAAUCAACACACACAUCACUCAUAUCCUCUUCCAAAACCGGCCACCCCCUAGUGGGGGUACUUUUGGGGCCUUUUAUGCAAUUACAUAAAGUUUUGAUAAUUUGCACUUUGGCCCAAAAGUUUACGUUUUUACGUUUAGGUCCAAAAACGCUAAAGGACAAAUUGUUUUGCUCCUUUCAUGAAGUUUUUGCAUUGAUUAAAUUUUGGGUUCUAGUGUAAUUACAUGAAGUAGUGGACUUUUGUGUCUUUACAAAGUGACCCCAAAAGUUUUGCAAUAUAGCCCAAAAGUUGAGGUUAAUUGCUUUAUGGCCCAAAAGUUGUGGUUAUUGCAUAUUGGCCCAAAUUAGGUAGAGAACAAAAUUGUUUUGUCUCUUUAAAUGAGAAUUGGAUUUUCAUUUUGUUUAGCUUCAUUUAAAUCAAUUUUAUGGAUACAAAAACCAAAUGAAAAUGUUGCAUUCAAUUUAAUUAGUUAAAGUGUUAAUUAAUUAAAGGGAGAUUAUGAACCUAAGCCUAAUAUAAUUGAGCUAUGUGAAAGGCCGUUUCAAAUUUGUUUGAACCAUGGGAAUGU